AACGUACGCUGGCGGCACGCCUAACACAUGCAAGUCGAACGAAGUAGCAAUACUUAGUGGCAGACGGGUGAGUAACAUGUAGGUAUCUGCCCUUUGGCCUGGAAUAACACGAGGAAACUUGUGCUAAUACCGGAUAAGUCUUUACGGAGAAAGCUUUAUGCACCAUUGGAUGAGCCUGCACUUGAUUAGUUUGUUGGUGGGGUAAUGGCCUACCAAGACUGUGAUCAAUAGCUGAUUUGAGAGGAUGAUCAGCCACAUUGGGACUGAGACACGGCCCAAACUCCUACGGGAGGCAGCAGUGGGGAAUCUUGCACAAUGGAGGAAACUCUGAUGCAGCGAUGCCGCGUGAGUGAAGAAGGCCCUUGGGUUGUAAAGCUCUUUCGUCGGGGAAGAAAAUGACUGUACCCGAAUAAGAAGGUCCGGCUAACUUCGUGCCAGCAGCCGCGGUAAUACGAAGGGACCUAGCGUAGUUCGGAAUUACUGGGCUUAAAGAGUUCGUAGGUGGUUGAAAAAGUUAGUGGUGAAAUCCCAGAGCUUAACUCUGGAACUGCCAUUAAAACUUUUCAGCUAGAGUAUGAUAGAGGAAAGCAGAAUUUCUAGUGUAGAGGUGAAAUUCGUAGAUAUUAGAAAGAAUACCAAUUGCGAAGGCAGCUUUCUGGAUCAUUACUGACACUGAGGAACGAAAGCAUGGGUAGCGAAGAGGAUUAGAUACCCUCGUAGUCCAUGCCGUAAACGAUGUGUGUUAGACGUUGGAAAUUUAUUUUCAGUGUCGCAGGGAAACCGAUAAACACACCGCCUGGGGAGUACGACCGCAAGGUUAAAACUCAAAUGAAUUGACGGGGACCCGCACAAGUAGUGGAGCAUGUGGUUUAAUUCGAAGAUACGCGCAGAACCUUACCAACACUUGACAUGUUCGUCGCGACUCUAAGAGAUUAGAGUUUUCGGUUCGGCCGGACGAAACACAGGUGCUGCAUGGCUGUCGUCAGCUCGUGUCGUGAGAUGUUGGGUUAAGUCCCGCAACGAGCGCAACCCUCACUUUUAGUUGCCAUCAUUAAGUUGGGCACUCUGAAAGAACUGCCAGUGAUAAGCUGGAGGAAGGUGGGGAUGACGUCAAGUCCUCAUGGCCCUUACGUGUUGGGCUACACACGUGCUACAAUGGUAUCUACAACAGGAAGCAAGACUGCGAAGUUAAGCAAAUCCCUAAAAGAUACCUCAGUUCGGAUUGCACUCUGCAACUCGAGUGCAUGAAGCUGGAGUUACUAGUAAUCGUGGAAUCAGCGUGCCACGGUGAAAUGCGUUCCCGGGUCU
rnacentral:rRNA from 1 species